rfam:Schistosoma margrebowiei strain Zambia genome assembly, scaffold: SMRZ_contig0000133
AUCUAGCUGACGAGUCUCAAAUAGAACGAAACGUAUGUCAUGGAU